rnacentral:rRNA from 1 species
GUUGAGGAAGAUAAUGACGGUACUCAACAAGGAAGUGACGGCUAACUACGUGCCAGCAGCCGCGGUAAAACGUAGGUCACGAGCGUUGUCCGGAAUUACUGGGUGUAAAGGGAGCGCAGGCGGGAGAACAAGUUGGAAGUGAAAUCCAUGGGCUCAACCCAUGAACUGCUUUCAAAACUGUUUUUCUUGAGUAGUGCAGAGGUAGGCGGAAUUCCCGGUGUAGCGGUGGAAUGCGUAGAUAUCGGGAGGAACACCAGUGGCGAAGGCGGCCUACUGGGCACCAACUGACGCUGAGGCUCGAAAGUGUGGGUAGCAAACAGGAUUAGAUACCCUGGUAGUCCACACCGUAAACGAUGAUUACUAGGUGUUGGAGGAUUGACCCCUUCAGUGCCGCAGUUAACACAAUAAGUAAUCCACCUGGGGAGUACGACCGCAAGGUUGAAACUCAAAGGAAUUGACGGGGGCCCGCACAAGCAGUGGAGUAUGUGGUUUAAUUCGACGCAACGCGAAGAACCUUACCAAGUCUUGACAUCCCUUGACGAUGCUGGAAACAGUAUUUCUCUUCGGAGCAAGGAGACAGGUGGUGCAUGGUUGUCGUCAGCUCGUGUCGUGAGAUGUUGGGUUAAGUCCCGCAACGAGCGCAACCCUUAUGGUCAGUUACUACGCAAGAGGACUCUGGCCAGACUGC